rnacentral:rRNA from 1 species
UCCUAGUGGCAAACGGGUGAGUAACACGUGGGUGACCUACCCCGGAGUGGGGAAUAACGACCCGAAAGGGUCGCUAAUACCGCAUACGCUCGAGAGAGUAAAGGUCCCGCAAGGGAUCGCUUUGGGACGGACCUGCGGCCCAUCAGGUAGUUGGUGAGGUAACGGCCCACCAAGCCAAUGACGGGUAGCUGAUCUGAGAGGAUGACCAGCCACACUGGCACUGAUACACGGGCCAG